AAUUUAAGGCGUUAACUAUGUUUGAACAAUGUCUCUCACCCAUGAACAUCCAGGUUCUAGAAAAAAAAGGCUGAGUGUAGUGAAAAUGCAUCUAACUCAACACAGAGACUUCUUAACAAUCCAUGUGUGUUAAAAAAACAAGAGACAGCACAUGUAGAUUGUGUCGUACAAAGGCAAGAAAGGACACUUCUCCCACCUAAUAAACUUGGCUUCUUAUAAUUAGUGUUAAAACUGCAUUUUUUUUUUUGCAGCUGAUUCUCUGGCACUUUAUACAAAUCUCUAAGAACGAUCCCCUGAAACAGCUACAUAAG